rnacentral:rRNA from 1 species
CUAAGGGCGUACGGUGGAUGCCUUGGCUUGAAGAGGCGAAGAAAGACGUGGCACGACUGCGAAAAGCUUCGGGGAGGUGUCUAGCAACCUUUGAUCCGGAGAUGUCUGAAUGGGGAAACCCGUCCGAGUAAACCUCGGUCACCCCGCCUAGGCGGGGAGCAAACCCAGGGAAUUGAAACAUCUUAGUACCUGGAGGAAAAGAAACCAAUAUGCGGAUUUUUUACUGUGUUGGCGAUGUUUGCCGAUACGGUAAAAAAUCCUGGCAUUUCCUUAGUAGCGGCGAUUGAAGAAUGAGCCGGCGAGUUUGCGCAUGCGGCUUGGCUAAGGGGAGACCCCCGGAGCCACAGCGAAAGCGAGUGUGAAUAGCGCGACCUAUAGGUCGUACGCGCAAGACCCGAAGCUAGGUGAGCUUGCCAUGGGCAGGUUGAAGCGGCUGUAACAAGCCGUGGAGGACCGAACCGGUUGGUUGUACAACGCCAUCGGAUGACCUGUGGUAGGGAGUGAAAAGCUAAUCGAACCUAGCAAUAGCUGGUUCUCUCCGAAAUAGUUUUAGGACUAGCGUCAUGUGUUCCUACUGGGGGUAGAGCACUGGAAGGUCUGAAUAGGGAGAAAUCUCGUCAGACCUAUCAAACUCCGAAUACCAGUAGUUUAUAGCGUGGCAGUCAGAACGUGGGGGCUAAGCUCCACUGUUCAAAAGGGAAACAGCCCAGAUCGCCAGUUAAGGUCCCUAAAUCCAUACUCAGUGCAUUUUAAGGAGGUGAAAUUUCUGUGACAAUCAGGAGGUUGGCUUAGAAGCAGCCAUCCUUUAAAGAUAGCGUAACAGCUCACUGAUCCAGAGAUUUUGCGCCGAAGAUAAUCGGGGCUAAAGUAUGGUACCGAAACUGCGGAUGUCGUACGCAUCACAUUGCAUGUGAUGCGAAGUUAAAAGUAAAAAGUGUAGAGUUUAUAAAGUAGCCAUGUUUAUCAGCCAAGGGUUAGUCGGGCCUAAGGGGAUCCUGAAAACUGUUUAAUCAGAAAUCCAAGCAGAGCGGGAAGCUGGCGGCUUCGGCCAACGGCAAUGUAAGGGAGCACGCUUCCAAGAAAAGCCUCUAAGCUCUAGAUAUGUAGAGACCGUACCUAAACCGACACAGGUGGGAAGGUCGAGAAGACUAAGACGAACGAGUGAUUUCUCCCCAAGGAACUCGGCAAAAAAGCGGCCGUAACUUAGGGAUAAGGCCUGCCCCCACCACUUGUGGUGGGGGCCGCAGCGAAAGUUUGCCUGGCGACUGUUUACCAAAAACACAGCUCUCUGCGAACUCGUAAGAGGAUGUAUAGAGGGUGACACCUGACCAAUGCCAGAAGGUUAAAUAUUGUUGGUAACGUAUCACAUUGCAUGUGAUACUGAGUAAAAAGUAAAAAGUGUAAAGUUUAUAAAGUAAAAACGAAAAACGUCGUAACUUUUAACUUUCAACUUUAAAACUUUUAACUUAAGUAUCGUGCGCAGCGUGAUACGUUGCUGGACGAUAUAAGCCCUGGUCAAUGUCAGCGAUAACUAUAAUCGUUCUAAGGUUUGUUACAUGUCAUUCGUGAUGUGUAACAAAGGACUGGAACGAUUAUAGAGUGGGUAAACAGGAGUACAGACAGUACAUUACACCAUACAACAAGGCUACCUUUAUACUUGGUAACGAGUAUAUUGUCCGCCCACGGCCAACUAGAGACCGUCUCGGGGAGUAGCUCGGUGAAAACGCAAUACCGGUAAAGAUGCCGGUUACCCGCGGUUAGACAGAAAGACCCCGUGGAGCUUUACUGCAGCUUCGUAUUGGAUCUGUGUGUUUAUUGCGUAGAAUAGGUGGGAGACUUUGAAGCGGCCCUUUUGGGGGUUGUGGAGUCGACAGUGAAAUACCACUCUAUAAAUGUGCAGGUUCUAACCUACAUGGACAUAAAACCCAUGAGAGACAGUGCGUGGCAGGCAGUUUUACUGGGGCGGUACCCUCCUAAAGAGUAACGGAGGGGUUCAAAGGUUAGCUAGGCGCGAAUGGAAACCGUGCCGAUAGUGUAAGAGCAUAAGCUAGCUUGACUGCAAGGGGUACAUCCCGAGCAGGUGCGAAAGCAGAAUCUAGUGAACCGACAGUUCGCAUUAGAUGCGGCUGGAGAUUAACGGAUAAAAGUUACCCCGGGGAUAACAGGCUAGUUCCGCCCAAGCGUCCAAAGCGACGGCGGAGUUCGGCACCUCGAUGUCGGCUCACCACAUCCUGGGGCUGGAGAAGGUCCCAAGGGUACGGCUGUUCGCCGUUUAAAGUGGUACGCGAGCUGGGUUCAAACCGUUCAGAGGUUGAAUCCGCCAGUUGGCGAAUUGACAAUUGAACAGUUUGAACCCGCAUAGAGAGUUUUAGUUUUUCUGUCUUAUAAAGUGUCUAUACAUUUCACCAGCGGUGGUGAUUCAUGUAUAUACAAAAAGUGUAGAGAACAACCUUAUUACGGCGGUCCCUAAAACACUAUCAAGGAUAGUGUUCGGGUUUAAAGUUGACUAAAAUCGGUGAAACCCGACCAGACAUAUGUCUGAGGGCAAUACCGAGGGAACCAAGUCCUAACAAAGUUAGAACUUGGACCUGUAGAGACUGAACGUCGACUACCCCCCACCACUUUUCUAAAAAAAGUGGUGGGGGGGAAAGUUACAGUCCAUCCCAUAUGGAAACAUGUGAAAAGGAGCGUGAGACAGGUUGGUUCUCUAUCUACCGUGGGCGUUGAUUCUUGAGGAGAUUUGUCCCUAGUACGAGAGGACCGGGAUGAACUGACCUCUGGUCUAUCGGCUGUAGCGUCAGCUGCACUGCCGAGUAGCUAAGUUGGGAAUGGAUAACCGCUGAAAGCAUCUAAGCGGGAAGCCAACUCCAAGAUAAGGAAUCAUUUGAGACCCGUAGGAGACUACUACGUUGAUAGGCACCAGGUGGAAGUACAGUAAUGUAUUAAGCCGAGGUGUACUAAUUCGUCGAGU